UCAGGUGAUCCGCCCACCUUGGCCUCCCAAAGGCCUGGGAUUACAGACAUGGGCCGUCGUGCCUGGCCUUUUUUUUUUUUUUUAAUCACAGGAAUGUGACAUGUGAAUUAAGUGGUCAAAUGUAAAACUAAUGAGGACACCAAGCCUCAGGAAAAACAUCCCAUGUUUCUGCUUAGCUCUCUUAUGUGUUACACUACCUUCCCUUUCUCUUUCUUAUACACAUAGAUUUUCCUUAAUUGCAGCCCAAGAGGAUACUGCCCCAUUUUGUUUUGUUCUUUUGUCAUUGAGACUUUUAUUAAAGUGGGUGCCUCAAGUCUUUGGUAACAGUGUUAACAGAACACUGACAAUGACUUGAUAUCAGUCAGUGUUCAUCUCCUUCCCAAGCCACUGUCUGAACACUAAGAUCCUUUUUUUUUCUUUUAAUGAAAGGUAAAAUACAAUUCUGCUCUGUGAUUUAUACUUCUACCAGAUUUAUUUUAUCGACCUUUCAUUAGUCUCUCAAAGAUGAUACACUGUUUUUCUUUGUUAAAUGUUUGGGCCAGGCACAGUGACUCAUGCCUAUAAUCCCAGCACUUUGAGAGGCCAAGGCCAGCGGAUGACUUGAGGUCAUGAGUUCAAGACCAGCCUGGCCAACAUAGCAAAACCCUGUGUCUACUAAAAAUACAAAAAUUAUCCGGGCAUCAUGGUUCAGACCUGUAAUCUCAGCUACUCAGGAGGCUGAAGCAGGAGAAUCACUUGAACCUGGGAGAUGGAGGUUGCAGUGGGCCGAGAUUGCGUCACUGCACUCCAGCCUGGGUGACAAAAUGAGACUCCAUCAUGUUGUCAAAAAAAAAAAAAAAAAGAAGUUUGUAGGAGGAAUGAUUGUUUCCUAUUGGAAAAAAAGCCAAAUGGAGUAAGAAUUUAGAGCAUGAAUUUCGAAUGAGACCUAUAUUGUAGUUUCAACCUUACCCCUUCCCUGUAUGGCCUUAGGCAAGUCACUCUGCUGUCCAAAUCGGUUUUAUCAUCUGUAAAGUAGGGGUGGUGGUAAUAGUUAACUCUGUCUCAAAUGUGAUAAAAUCAUUAUGUGCUUAGAGCAGGGUUCCCCCUACUGGUCCUUGGCCUGUUAGGAAUCAGGCUGCACAGCAGGAGGUGAGGGGUAGGCAGACAAGCGAGCAAGCGAAGCUUCAUCUAUAUUUACAGAUACUCACCAUUGCUUGUGUUACUGCUUGAGUUCCAUUAGUCCAGUGGCAGAAUUAGAUUGUCAUAGGAGUGCAAACCCUACUGUGCACUGUUUAUGCAAGGGAUCUAGGUUGCGCACUCCUUGUGAGAAUCUAAUGCCUGAUGAUCUGUCACUGUCUCCCAUCACCCAUAGAUGGGACUGUCUAGUUGCAGGAAAAAAGCUCAGGGUUCCCACUGAUUCUAUUAAUACAUUACGGUGAGUUUUAUAAUUAUUAUAUAUUACAAUGUAAUAAUAAUAUGAAGUGCACAAUAAGUGUAAUGUGCUUGAAUCACCUUGAAACCCUACCCACCCCACCAGCCCUGUCCACGGAAAAAUUGUCUUCCACAAAACCCGUACCUAUUGCCAAAAACAUUGUAGACCACUGGCUUAGAGUAUUCAAUAAAUGUUAGCCAAACAGCAACUGAAUUUUCUGACCCUGGCAGACAUGCUUCUUGAAUAUUUGGUGUCUGAGUUAUUGGAGAGUACCAAGUGACCUUGGAAAAGUCACUUGAUCUGAGUUCCAGUAAAAUGAAGAUAAUACAUACACCUCCUAGGGUUGUUUUGAGGCUAAAAUGAGAUAAUAUGAAAGCAUCUGUAUGAUAAUUUGCUCAACAAAUAAUUACGGAGUGCAUUCCAUGGGUUAUAACAGUGAACAAAAUAGACAAUGGCCUUGGUAUUCAUGGCACUUAGGCAGAGCAGGAAUAAGUACUGAUUUUCAAUCAGAGAAGGGGGAAAAGUGCCACAUCAUGCAAGUUACAAAAUUAGAAUGCAGUUCUCCCUCUGAUGAAGAGAGCAGGUUUUAUUCUCCACAAAAUUAAUGAAGCUUUCUAGUCACUAGGAGUUACAAGAUUAUGUCACUAGUACCAAGAUAACUGGUAGUGGUUGAUGACUCGCUAUUUAUAAACCUGGAGUAUGAACUUAAGGCUGCCUUUCUGGAGCAUGGGCCUGAUAAUUGCCAGAAUGUGCUGUCUGCCUGUCGUUACCCAUUCUGCUGACUCUGGUGGGAGCACAUGUUAAAUGAAUUCUGGAAUGUAUCUCAAGUGAUCAGAGCCCUGGGCGGUAAACCAAAGGCUCUGGGGCACAGGUGUCUUUUGGGUUUUUUGUUUGUUUGUUUGUUUUUUCUUUUUAAUCCCAGUUGAAGGUCAUGUCUGCAAGAGGUAGGGGAAAUGAACAGAUGGUGUUAUACAUACUAUCAAAUAAAAGUUAGCUUUUCUGGACCAUGUUUUAUGGUAUUGAUACUUCAAGGUUCAAAAGUGCCCCUGGGAAGCUGUUGCCUCACCUGGAUUAGAAAUGUAAUCGAUUAGGGGAUACUUUUGAAAGAUAAAGGGGGAGAUAGCAAGAGUAGACCAGGACAGCCUUCACACCCUGAUGUAGUUCUCAUACCUGUGAGGGCAGAAAGGGAGAAGGAAGGAGGGACUGGGUGGGAAAAACCUCAGAUUGCAGCACAGUUCUGAGAAAGCCACUGACAGGCCCAUGGUGUCCCCAGGCAAAAGUUGCCCAAGAGAAGAAUCCCUUGCAGGGCAGGGAUGGACCAAUACUAUACCCCCAGUGCUAGGUCAGCAGCUGUGGAGAGGGCAGGGACCUGGACAGAGUGUGUGGCCUUAACCUGAAGACGGUGGUGGGUCUGAAGGGGCUGGGCUCCACAGCUGGCCGUCACAUUGAAGGAGAGCUAAACAGCACUGAGUGCUGCAGACCCCAGUUUGAAUACCAUUUUUGGGAACUGUGGCAUAUGAAGGUAGAUUCUUAGGAAUCCAAUGUGCAAAAACACCCACAUCUAGAUAUUCAUUCAGUACCGAUCACCUAGGUGCCAGGUACUGGGGAUGCAACCCUGAGCAUGAUAGGAGGGGCCUGCCUCGUGCAGUGUAUAGUCUGCAAGGGCAGGCGCAGGGCACUGUGGAAGAGGCCAGCAGGUGGUAUCCUGUUCUACACAGGGUGGUCAUCACAUUCCUUUUAGGAGGCCAGGUAACCUGAGCUCUGCAGGCGUUAGGAAAGCAAGGACAGAGACCUUGAGGCAGGAAAGAGGGCCCAAGUGCCAGAGUGACGGGAACACUCCAGGGGACCAGAUGGCAUGAGAUUUAGAGCAGAGCAGGAGCCAAAUGCAGCAAGGCUUUGUCAGUUACAGCGAGGCUUUUAGACUCUAUUUUAAAUGUGAUGGGAAGGGCGGAAAAUGUCCCGAGCAAGGGAGCAGUGUGGUCAGAUUUACAUUCGUGAAGACCACUCUCCCUGCUGUGCAAGGAUCAUUUGGAAGGUGGCGAGUGUGUGCGGUGGUGGGAGACAGAUGAGGAGUAAUCUGCAAUAACAGUAAUCCAAGUGGAAGAUGGAGACUUGGACCUGCUGAUGGCGUCUAUGUAUGGGAUGAAAGAAAAAGGGGAAUCAAAGAUGCCUCUCAGGUCUGUGGCUUAAUCAGCUGGUAAGGCCAUAUGCUGAGAUGAUAGAGAACCUGGGAGAAGGAACAGAUUUGAGAGGAAUGUGCUAGGAAAUUAAGAACUCAGUUUUGGAUAUAAGUUUGGGAUGCCCAUUAGACAAGUGGCAGUGUCAGGUACAUUGUACUUGAAACACGUAUGUCCAGAGGCAUACAUGAUUCUGAGAGGGAGCUUGGGCUGGAGAUAAUAAAUUCCAGAGUUGUCAACACGUAGAAAGUAUUUAAAGCUUUAGGAUUGAGUGUGAUCACUUGGGAAAGGAUUAUAGAUAGAAAACUGAGGGCCCGAGACCAAGCCCUGAGGAGCCCCUACAUUCAGAAGUUAAGUAGAGGAAUAGGAGGCAGGAAAGGAGAGAAGAAGCAGGGGAAGGGUGUUUCUAGGGGAGCACUCAGUUAAAUGACCUCAAGAGGAGGGCAAGCCAGAUGAGAGAAAAGUCUCAGUAACCUGAGGGCAUAGUGGGGACCUGAUAGCAUUUGCAAAUGACUGGGGAGGAUGCAUGCCAGAUUAGCACGUUACAGAAGGAAUGGGAGAUGGGAAGGUAGAAACAGCAUGUAUAGACCUCUUCAAAAGUUUUGUUGUGAAAGGCAGCUGAGAGAUGGAUUAAUCGCUGGAGGCAGAAGUGACCACUGGAAGGGAAUCCUAAGUUUUCAUUUAUUUGUUCGUUCAUUUGUUUAAGAAAGAGGUUGUUAUAAAAAGAACAUUAGGACUAAUAACUUUCAUCCCACUUUGCCAGGAUUAGACUCUCAAACAAAAAGGAAGAACAAAAGGUAUUCCCAGCCACGGGAGUGGAGAAGGCCCGGAUCAGCAGGACCUUCUCCUCAGUCAGGACACGAGUGACUGGGAGACAGGUUUUCCAUCAGCACAUGGAAACCCUUGGAGGUUGGACCUGGGUGGUGUCACUUAGAUGUCUUCUGACCUAGAUUGGAGGGUUUCCCAAACUCUUGAUUGCCUCUUGCAAGCAGAUGACCUGGGAGCAAAUGUUAUGGCAAAAUGAUGGACUCCUAGCAAGGGCUGAAGCAUGCCCUGUGAAGACUGUGGAAAUAAUAUAUGCUUGUCAGAGAUUCGGUAACCUCACCAAGAAGACCUUAAAUUGCAGUUUAAGAGGGUGGAAAAAUUACUCCAGUGAAACUAUAAGCCCUGUUAUUGGUAAGAAAACGUAUGACACAGAGUAAUUGGAGUAAUUGGAGAAUCUCUUAAUUUGCAUGCAAAAAUAACAGGAGGAAAAAGUAAGGAAUGUUAUAUCUGAUUUCAAGUGUGAAUAUGAAGCAAAGGAACUUGAGAUGUUAACACCUGGAAGAAAUCAAGAUUUCCUAGAUACCGUGAAACACAGGGCUCAGGACUGUGUACAGCAGGUGCUGGUACCCCUCCCAUUACCUCUGUUCCCAAGUAAUUUAGAACUUUAAGGAAUAUGGAAUAUGGAAGCCCUGAGAGAAAGGACAGCAGAGGAGCAGUAUAUGUCCAAAAUGUCUGAAAGUGCACAGAAAGCCAGAAGCCUGCAUGAAGAAGCGGGAUGGAGAAUAUUUGUGUGGAGAUGAAAGGAGAGAGACUCAAGUGAUUCUACCAUGGAAACACUUUAAAACCAGGGACCACAAGCCACUACCAUCCAUGGGCCAUGUUUCCUAACCCCAGUUUCAAACUGAGAGAGGCAAGAUGUAGUAAAAAUGUCUUUCAGCUCUCUAGGCCUUUACUAGAAUGUUCAGUCUGCUGAGUGCAUUUGGUAAAUUAUUGACUUGACAAUUUCAUAUCUAAGAAAAUGAAUGAAAAAAAUGAGGGUCUACUAUCUAAUUCUCACGAAGAAGGAAAAUUAUAUCAUUGUAGUUUACAAUUACAUGUAAAAGAGGUAUUGUGACUAGUAAAAAAGUGGUGUGAAAACUCAAAAAAGAGCAAAAGCUAUACCCAGGUUCUAGCAGGGAGACCCUGGGUAAUCAGGCAACUCACUCCAAGGUAGAAUGGAGUCAGGCACGGGGAUCCAGGAGACUUAACUUUAAUGAGAUUGACAGUGGAAAGUUCAGAAAAUUAUAGUUACGAUUCUAUGGCCAGAAACUAGAAGGGAAUAUGGUGCAAGAGGAAUGGAACCCUAAAGAACGGUUCUGUCACACAAUCACAUGUAAUUGUUAUGAGAAAGAAGUAGCUCAGGUACCUCAUUGAGUUCUCCAACAGACAAGAGGCACUCGCAGGGUACCUGAACAGCACAAGCUCCUGAAAAGCUGAGGCUUUCAAAUGAGUACUGGUCAAUAUAAAGAGAAGUUAUGUUUGGAGAUCAAAAAUUUAAAAAGGAGUAAUGUAAAGACAGCUGACAAGAAAUGAACAAAAUAAUGCGUUUGGGAGGGAUUGGUAAAGAAAGACCUCAGAAAUGCUGGGAACCUCAGAAAACGCAGCUUUGUCAGCAUCUGUUUUUCUGACCCAGGAUAAGAUCUUUCUUUUAGAUCUGCUGGUCAAGGGACAGAGCUGAACUGUAAGCCAGCCCUGGUCUGUGAGGUUCUUGCCAUUCAUGCCUAAGACUGGAAAGCUUUACUUUGAAUAUACUAAAUCUUGCUCAAGGUGUAGUCUCCCAUGCUUCUCAAGGCUGUGUGUCCCAUUGGGUAAGGCUGUGGUCUUCAGAGUGGGAGAGCAGCACUAGAACUGCUUGGCCUGCCUGCCUGUUACAAACGCAGGUGCUGGUACCCCUCCCAUUACCUCAGUUCCCAAGCAAUUUAGAACCUUAAGGAGGACAGCAAGGGAGCUUCAGAAAUCAGCGUUUUCAAUACAUUCCUCAAGUGAUGCUAUCCAAGAUGAGACUUUCAGAACCACUGAGCUAAGUUAGCCAACACCUCUUGUUGCUCAGAGCUUCCAUGAGUAUAUGGGCUUACAGCCUGAAAAUCCCUUUUUAUCAAAGCUUUGCUGCAUCCUAACUCAUGGAACAACAGACAAGAUUGCCUAUGGAAAUAAAAAAAAGUUAUACUUUUCUAAUGAUUAGAUUUGCAGUAAUUCUCAACUCUGCAUAUUAGAAUCUCCUGGAGAACUUUUAAAAACACACAUGUCCAUGCCCCACCCCAGACCAAUUAAAUCAGGAACUCUGGAGUGGGGAUCAGGUAUGAUCGUUUGCUUGUUUGUUUUUGUCUUGUUUUAAGCUUUCCAGGUGGUUCUGAUGUGUGGCCAGGGUUGAGAACUACUGCUGUUGAAACUUUAGAGAAGUGUAACACUUUUAAAAGGUUCUAUUCCAUGUGAUACCUCUUAUCCUUUCACAUCAACAAAUAACCUCUACUUUCCAUUUCUUCUUCAUGAAAGAUAGUGUUCUCAUUUCUCAAAAUUAGAAAGAAUAAAACAAACAUGGCUAAAAGAGAACACAAUAUAGUAGCUAUACAAAAUAUGUCUCUCGGCCCUAAAAAUUUGCUUCUGGGGCACUGAAAAGAUACGCAGAUAAAAUUGCAUAGCCGUAAGUUCUUAAAGCUUAUGAUAAAUGAGAGUGGCCAAAAGACAGGAAUCAAGGAAAUGUCAACCCAGUUGUCCAAAAGGUGACUUAUGGACAAUACCAGCUAAUAAAAUUGAAGCUGUUUCCUGGGAAAAAUUCUAGAAUGUUUAAUUAAAAAGAUAAUUUGUGAGACUUUAAAAAGAAAUCAGGAAAAGUAGACUAUUCCUGUUUGAGUUCAUUGAGGGUUGCUGGCAAUGGAGUUUAACCCUAUAUCUGACAAAAUCACUCCAAAAUCGGUGGAGAAAUGUAGAAUUUACAGCGGCUUGAGCAACCACAUCCAAACCUUAUUGAUAAUGGAAUGAUGUUUAACCUGGAGAGAGAGCUCUAGUUUCUUGUUCUGAUAUUCUUUGAAACCUAUAGUUGUGAACCUCUUUAUUCUGGAAGUGAAUUUUAAUGUAGAGAAUUUUUUCCAAAGUGAUGUUAUACUCCAGCUUAGGUAUGUACAUAUACAAACACACAGGGGACUUCAAAAAGUUUGUAGAAAAAUGGAAAUAAAAGAUAAAAAUACAAAAUAAAACUUGAUUUCUCAACAUAAACUCCAUCAAGUUCAAGACACUCUUGUGAGCAAUGAUACUAACCAUCAUUUAUUCCAUCUCUAAAGAACUGAGGGACCUGGGAAUUUAACCAUGUCAGUGCAACCUUUUAUUUAUUUAUUUAUUUAUUUAUUUUUUUGCAUUAUUAUUGAAGAAAAAUGGGUGCCCUUUAAAGAUUUGUUAAGAAAAGAAAUAAAAAGAAGUCAGAAGGAGCCGAAUCAGGACUGUAAGGUGGGCCUAACAUGAAAACUCUCAUAAAAUUGCUCUUGUUUGAUGAGAGCAAUGAACAGAAGCAUUGUCAUGAUGGAGGAGGAUUCUCAGGUGAAGGUUUCCUGGGUGUUUUUCUGCUAAGUCUUUGGCUAAUGUUUUCAAAACACUCUCAUAAUAAGCAGAUGUUAUCAUUCGUUGGCCCUACGGAAAAUAAACAAGCAAAAUGCCUUGAUCACCCCCAAAAAGCUGUUGCCAUGACCUUUGCUCUUAACUAGUAUACUUUUGCUUUGACUAGAGCACUUAUACCCCUUGGUAGCCAUUGCUUCGAUUGUGCUUUGUCUUCAGGAUUGUACUGGUAAAGCCAUGUUUCUUCUCUUGUUACUUCAAAGAAAUGCUUCAGGAUCUUAAUGUUACUUGUUUCCAAUUUCAUUGAAAGCUCUGUUUUUGCCUGCAGAUGAUUCUAGGAGCAAUGGUUUUGGCAUACAUUGAGUGGAAAGUUUGCUCAACUUUGAUUUUUUCAGUCAGAAUUGUGUAAGCUGAAUCAAUUAAGUUGUCUGUGGUGUUGACUAUUGUUUCUGUUGUUAAUUAUCAGUCCUCUUUAAUUAGGGCAUGAACAAGCUGAAUUUUUUCCUCACAAAUUGAUAUGGAUGGCUUGCCACUAUGGGCUUCAUCUUCAACAUCAUCUCAUCCCUUCUUAAAACGAGUUACCCAUUUGUAAACUGCUGAUUUCUUUGGGACAUUAUACUCCUAAAGUUUUCAUAAAGCAUCAGUGAUUUCACCAUUCUUUCACUCAAGUGUCACCAUAAAUUUGACACAUUUGUUCUUGCUUCAAUUUUAGCAAAAUUCAUAUUGCUCUCAUAGGGGCUGUUUUCAAGCUGAUGUCUUACUCUUCCGAGAGCCUCAACCUAGAUUCUAUUCAGACAUGUUAUAACAAGGUAGUAUGAGUUUAUUGGCAAAAAAAAAAAAAAGAAAAAAUUGAAAUACAUGCAUAAUAUACAUUUUCCAUGAACUUUUGAAAACUUCUUGAGAUAUACACACAAGCCCAUAGAUUCUUCCACAUUACUCUUUUCUAAAACCUCUUCAUCCCCAUAAUUCCAUAAAAUAAUAUAUAACAGACUUGGCUUUGGCUUAUUGGACUCUUAGUCCAAGUUAGUUGUUUUUCAGCUUUAACUUUGGUGACUCAUUUGUGCUCAGUUCUGAUUCAGACAAUGGAAAACUAUUUUAGCAAGAGCUGAACUGAUUUUUAUUCCCCUGUUGAUGUCCAAAGCUCAGCCCACUGUCGUGCACUGUGCAUUCACAUUCUCUGUUUCGCAAGCUUUGCUGGCCAGGUUCACCAACGAACGUUAAAUUGACCAAACACGUACUAAGUGCAUUCUGCAGACAUAACGGAAGACUAAAUUUUGGAGAUCUUUGCUUUCCGAACAAUGCCCUGAAAAAAAAAAUUUUUUUUUUUUUUUACUUCUACUAAGUACCCAGUUUUCCAAUCACAUGAAUUUUCUGGAAUAUUUUUGGAGAGAACCAGAUUUAUUGAAGAGCUGUGUUUUUUUUACCCCAGAUAUAGACAAAGUUAAAUUUAUUCUGAGUAUAAAUCAUCAGAGUAAGAAGGUAAGAUUUAGUCAAGAAGAUACAUUUGUUGGACUAUGGGUUCAGCUGUGUGCAACAGAGAUCUAAAGUUUCAAUGGCUUGAGCAACAUUGAGGUUUAUUUAUCUUCCAUGACAGUGUGAGAGUUUGCAGCCAAAGACGAGUAUGGUGGGUCCAUGGUGUCAAGGACCCCCAGGUAUCUCCCAUCUUAUUGCUUAUUAUCUCUGGGGGAUGGCCCUCAUCUGCAUGGUCCAGGCAGGAAAGAGGAGGAUGGCAAUAACCCCACCCCAGAGGCUGCACCCAGCACUUCCCCUUACACACACACACACACACACACCAGCUGCAAGGAAGGCUGGCACAUGUCUUUAUUUUGUACAAUCGGUAAAAACAGAUUCUAUCAAGAGAGAAAGAGGACAGACACUGGAGAAAAACAAGUAGACUUUCCAACAUAUUCCUGAAAAAAUUUAAAUUUCAGAAGGGGCUAUAGGUUGGCCAGGCAGGGAAGAAUCACUGUUUCACCCAAAGAAUGACGUCGAACUUCAGGUAUCUAAGCCACCAUCAAAAAGGCUGGUGCUCUUCCAGGUUUUUCUUUAGAGGGCAUCUGUCAGGCUGGGGAGAACACUUCUCUAGGUGGCCUUGAGCCAGUGUUAUUGACCCACUCAAUCAGAGCUGCCCUGCAGCCUCGUUAGCACAUCACAAGAACCCAGAGUGGAAUUCUGGGAUGGAAGAGCUGGGCAGAAAGUGGAGGGAGGUCAUCCCAGUGG